CAAUAAACCUACUGAAGCCGUUCACGUCUGAGCCGAUCGUUGACCCAGAUCAGAGUUCGUUCUCGUAUUACAUCCAGUCAGAGGUUCCUGUCAGUCUGUCUGGAUGGUGACUGUAUUACAUCCAGGUCAGAGGUUCCUGUCAGUCUGUCUGGAUGGUGAUGUAUUACAUCCAGUCAGAGGUUCCUGUCAGUCUGUCUGGAUGGUGAUGUAUUACAUCCAGUCAGAGGUUCCUGUCAGUCUGUCUGGAUGGUGACUGUAUUACAUCCAGGUCAGAGGUUCUUGUCAGUCUGUCUGGAUGGUUACUGUAUUACAUCCAGAGGUUCCUGUCAGUCUGUCUGGAUGGUGACUGUAUUACAUCCAGGUCAGAGGUUCCUGUCAGUCUGUCUGGAUGGUGACUGUAUUACAUCCAGUCAGAGGUUCCUGUCAGUCUGUCUGGAUGGUGACUGUAUUACAUCCAG
rnacentral:lncRNA from 1 species